AGAAACCUCAAGUGUUGCAAAACAAAUUAUUUUCUUUGGUAAGUAAAUGAUUCUUUUCAAAUACUAUUUAUACUAUUCAUUUACUUACUAAGCCAUUUUUCAUAGAUAGCACAGGGUAUACACUUCAGCUCAGUUCCUUUAAAAAGGAAAGAUUAAAAAUGUCCAGAUCAAAAAGCUUUUAUUGUAAAUGUUGAAAUUUCUCAACAGAUUAACUUAUUUGUCUUUUAGUUCUCUAGAGUAUGAUGUUUUGAAUAAAUGUAAAUUUAUAACAUGCGCAGAAUUUUUGAGAAAUGCAAUAUUUUCUCAAGUUACAUGUUUUUAUCAUUCCUGAGUAUCCUUUAUAAUAGAAUGGAAAGACGGAGAAGGUAGGGUUCUGACUCUGGGCUUUGACAACAUUGCUAGUAGGUCUGCUCCAUUCGCUUUGGUGGACCAGAUUCGGCCUGGCUUGGGGCAUGUCUCGGGGGUGUGGGAUCUGUCAGCUGUUAACCCAUGGAAAAUACGUGAAAUGUGUUCCCCCUUAAAGUUAAUGAAUUAUUGCAAACUGAAAAAUGGGAUUUAUUAAAUAUGGUGGUCCUGGACCGUGCCAAAUCAUUGUGGUUUUUUGGGAACACAGCAAGGUAGCCAGUGGUAUUGCAGUGCGGGGUCGCAGCCCGUCCAGCUGUGGAGCACAUGAUCCUUACUUGGGAGGACAAAUGGCAAUAUUUUUCUAUCCCUGGAGUACAUUCUGCUCUUGAUAUGCCUGCAUAACCACAACGAACAUUUAGUGGGAGUUGCAUACAACGGAGACUCAAGGACUACACUUCUGUCGCCCAAACGAAAAUUCCUUUGGUUGAUCUCUGUCCAGAGCAAGAUUUUCCCUAUCACACAAACAACUAUGUUUGUAU
rnacentral:lncRNA from 1 species